AUUGAACGCUGGCGGCAUGCUUUACACAUGCAAGUCGAACGGUAACAGGUCUUCGGAUGCUGACGAGUGGCGAACGGGUGAGUAAUGUAUCGGAACGUGCCCAGUAGUGGGGGAUAACUACUCGAAAGAGUGGCUAAUACCGCAUGAGAACUGAGGUUGAAAGCGGGGGACCUUCGGGCCUCGCGCUACUGGAGCGGCCGAUAUCAGAUUAGGUAGUUGGUGGGGUAAAGGCCUACCAAGCCGACGAUCUGUAGCUGGUCUGAGAGGACGACCAGCCACACUGGGACUGAGACACGGCCCAGACUCCUACGGGAGGCAGCAGUGGGGAAUUUUGGACAAUGGACGCAAGUCUGAUCCAGCAAUGCCGCGUGCAGGACGAAGGCCUUCGGUUGUAACUGCUUUUAUAUGGAGCAAUAAGGUCUACGUGUAGACUGAUGAGAGUACCAUAUGAAUAAGCAUCGGCGUAACUCCGUGCCAGCAGACCCGG
rnacentral:rRNA from 1 species